UUGAAGAGUUUGAUCAUGGCUCAGAUUGAACGCUGGCGGCAGGCCUAACACAUGCAAGUCGAGCGGUAGCACAGAGAGCUUGCUCUCGGGUGACGAGCGGCGGACGGGUGAGUAAUGUCUGGGAAACUGCCUGAUGGAGGGGGAUAACUACUGGAAACGGUAGCUAAUACCGCAUAAUGUCGCAAGACCAAAGUGGGGGACCUUCGGGCCUCAUGCCAUCAGAUGUGCCCAGAUGGGAUUAGCUAGUAGGUGGGGUAAUGGCUCACCUAGGCGACGAUCCCUAGCUGGUCUGAGAGGAUGACCAGCCACACUGGAACUGAGACACGGUCCAGACUCCUACGGGAGGCAGCAGUGGGGAAUAUUGCACAAUGGGCGCAAGCCUGAUGCAGCCAUGCCGCGUGUGUGAAGAAGGCCUUCGGGUUGUAAAGCACUUUCAGCGGGGAGGAAGGCGAUAAGGUUAAUAACCUUGGCGAUUGACGUUACCCGCAGAAGAAGCACCGGCUAACUCCGUGCCAGCAGCCGCGGUAAUACGGAGGGUGCAAGCGUUAAUCGGAAUUACUGGGCGUAAAGCGCACGCAGGCGGUCUGUCAAGUCGGAUGUGAAAUCCCCGGGCUCAACCUGGGAACUGCAUUCGAAACUGGCAGGCUAGAGUCUUGUAGAGGGGGGUAGAAUUCCAGGUGUAGCGGUGAAAUGCGUAGAGAUCUGGAGGAAUACCGGUGGCGAAGGCGGCCCCCUGGACAAAGACUGACGCUCAGGUGCGAAAGCGUGGGGAGCAAACAGGAUUAGAUACCCUGGUAGUCCACGCCGUAAACGAUGUCGAUUUGGAGGUUGUGCCCUUGAGGCGUGGCUUCCGGAGCUAACGCGUUAAAUCGACCGCCUGGGGAGUACGGCCGCAAGGUUAAAACUCAAAUGAAUUGACGGGGGCCCGCACAAGCGGUGGAGCAUGUGGUUUAAUUCGAUGCAACGCGAAGAACCUUACCUGGUCUUGACAUCCACAGAACUUUCCAGAGAUGGAUUGGUGCCUUCGGGAACUGUGAGACAGGUGCUGCAUGGCUGUCGUCAGCUCGUGUUGUGAAAUGUUGGGUUAAGUCCCGCAACGAGCGCAACCCUUAUCCUUUGUUGCCAGCGGUUAGGCCGGGAACUCAAAGGAGACUGCCAGUGAUAAACUGGAGGAAGGUGGGGAUGACGUCAAGUCAUCAUGGCCCUUACGACCAGGGCUACACACGUGCUACAAUGGCAUAUACAAAGAGAAGCGACCUCGCGAGAGCAAGCGGACCUCAUAAAGUAUGUCGUAGUCCGGAUUGGAGUCUGCAACUCGACUCCAUGAAGUCGGAAUCGCUAGUAAUCGUAGAUCAGAAUGCUACGGUGAAUACGUUCCCGGGCCUUGUACACACCGCCCGUCACACCAUGGGAGUGGGUUGCAAAAGAAGUAGGUAGCUUAACCUUCGGGAGGGCGCUUACCACUUUGUGAUUCAUGACUGGGGUGAAGUCGUAACAAGGUAACCGUAGGGGAACCUGCGGUUGGAUCACCUCCUU
rnacentral:rRNA from 1 species